rnacentral:tRNA from 1 species
CCGCUCUUAGCUCAGAUGGAUAGAGCGUCAGACUCCGACUCUGAAGGUCGUGGGUUCGAGUCCCGCAGAGCGGGCCA